CCUACGGGAGGCAGCAGUGGGGAAUAUUGGGCAAUGGGCGCAAGCCUGACCCAGCAACGCCGCGUGAAGGAAGAAGGCUUUCGGGUUGUAAACUUUCUUUGUCAGGGACGAAGCAAGUGACGGUACCUGACGAAUAAGCCACGGCUAACUACGUGCCAGCAGCCGCGGUAAUACGUAGGUGGCAAGCGUUAUCCGGAUUUACUGGGUGUAAAGGGCGUGUAGGCGGGGAAGCAAGUCAGAUGUGAAAACCACGGGCUCAACCUGUGGCCUGCAUUUGAAACUGUUUUUCUUGAGUACUGGAGAGGCAGACGGAAUUCGUGGUGUAGCGGUGAAAUGCGUAGAUAUUAGGAAGAACACCAGUGGCGAAGGCGGUCUACUGGACAGCAACUGACGCUGAGGCGCGAAAGCGUGGGGAGCAAACAGGAUUAGAUACCCCAGUAGUC
rnacentral:rRNA from 1 species